UACAGCUGCCACAAGUUGUAUGUUUAACAGAGGCUCAAGGCCAGCAGCCCUUUAAAUGGCAUAACCAGGUUUGUAACUGAAGAUUCUCUGCUCUGAAAACAACACCAAGAAAUUACCACCUGAGGAGCCACAGCAGAAAAAAAUGAAAUGAGAAACAAGCAGCAGGUUUUCAAACUUCGUAUGCCUUGAUUGUUAGAUGUUAAGAUUCCUGCAGAAAACUGAAAGGAACCAAUCUUUUCUCAGGGAAAAUCUAACUGGAUGGCCCUGGGAGGCAGCCACUGCUCCCUGCUGCUGGCACAGCUGGCCUCCACCAGUCCUGACCGUAGCACUUCGAGCCUCCAUGCUCUUAGCAACUGGAUUUCAGAACAACAAAGCUUAAGUUGUCCCAGCUCCCAUAUCUCUCUCAACCAAGGGGAAAACGGGUGUCUGGUUAAAGACUAUUUUCACUUUGAGAGUUCUGCCCCAUGAAAGUAGGAUCUGUUUCUCCUGUACUCACCUGUGGCAUCAUCCUACACCCCACUCCUCCCAGAACAGCAGUAGAAACCAGUAUGGAUGUGUCAAGAUAAAAAUCUUGUCAAACCCCUUUAAUUUCCUUCUACAAACAGACUCUGCAUGCAGGAGAAGCAGUGGCUGUGAUUUUGCUUGGCUUUUCAAAGGUAUCUGACACUCCUUCAGUGAAAAAUGACAUCUGGAAAUUACUAUACGGGAUGUGUAAAGUUGUUUUGGAAACCACUCACUAAUUACUACUCUGUAACUCACUGGCUGGGUUUUGAUACCUACUGAGUAAGAAUGGGCAAAGUAUUAUUUCCCAAAUACAGCUUCAGCUUAUUUAUUCAUGCAUGAGAUAGAUAAUGUGAAGCAAGAGAGAUUCACAAGUAACACCAAGUUGGGAAAGGCAUCAAUACUGGCGGGAAGGAUUAGCUCAAAAAAAUAUGCUGACAGCUUGGGGAAGAGUCUGAAAAGGCAGGAUGAAACAUAAUAGGGAUUGGUACGAUAUCCUUCAUUUGUGACAGAACAACCACCUGCACAAACAAUGACUAAAAAACUAAUAGAGAAGCAGUAAUUAUCCAAGGAAGCUGGAGCAGUGACAGUGGGUGUCAUUAAAUGUGAGGCACUGAAGGUGUGAAGUUAAGAGAAGAAAAGCAAACACUGUCCAGGUCAGUAUAAACCAGAAGGCAAUGUGCAAAUCACAGCAGAGACCAACAUUCAGUGCAGCACUCUCCACUUCUGAUGGGCCAUGUGAAGACAAUCCAGAGUAGAAAGUGAGCAACCAGUGCUUUAGUAAAUACAGCUAAAGAGGGAAGAUUCAAAUAAUAGUGGUAUUUUGAAAAAGCCAAAGGGAUGACAGUCUCUAGGUAGAGAUAAAACACAAAAGGGAAUAGAAGCCUUCCUAUGUCUGUGAACCAGACAGGAGGCAAUGGGCUAAAGCUGUAGCACGGAAAUCUAUAUUACACUUCACUAAAGACUGCAGAAUCUCCACCACUGGACACUGGCACUGGGAAAACUGAACAAGCACAACUCUUCUACAUUUCCUAACCUCAGAUCUUGCAGAGCACAUAAACCUUCUUAUGUUUAUUUAUUGAAUUAUUCCUCCUUCCACAGUGCCUAGUUAUAAUAGACACAGCAGUCACUUUGAUUCAAAAUGUAUUUGCUGUCAUGUAGUAACUGUUCAGAUCCUGUUGUUCCCCAUCAAGGAAACUUACCAUUCAUACAAGCAGUUCCUGCAUGAAUAAACCUCUCUCUGCAGUUUUUCCCCAAAGAAAUGUCAAUGCUCAAGUGCAGUCCUAGAUACACAGAUGUUCAGAGUUCAAAAUGAGAAAUAAGGAAGAUUUUCUUGCACCUGUCUGGACUCUGUCCCAGAGAAUUGCACCAAGGAACAUGAAGUCUUCAUUGUUAAAAUCUUUCCAAUAGGUUAGUUUUUGUCUCUGGAAAGCAGUAAACUGUGAAAUUUCACAGUCUUGCAAAUUCUGCUUCUCAUUCUGAACUACAGAAAGCAUAGUAAAGGUAUAUCAUUUUCUGUCCCCUAAGUUAUACAUGGGAAGUAUCUACAUGUGCAGCUGUGAGUCCAACACAGUAAAAGUAAUGUAACACUUAAAAAUCUUUCUAAAAAUUCUACCACCUGUUAUCUUACAUAUUACACCAUAACCAAACCACAGAGUAACUGCUGCCUCAAAUGCCUAGAUAAUAUCAAAGCCAUAUAUCCGGGUUUCAGGCUGUUGAUUUAAAUGUUUCUGUAAUGACAUAUGUUGCAACUGCUUCAAAUUAUCUCAUGUACCAUGAAACACCUUUGCUUCUACCAACUUAAGAUUUGCCCCUUGAACCAUGCCACUAUAAAUGUCUUAAUAGGAUGCUGGAUUCAAACCAUGAAUCUCUAAUAAUGAAAAUAUCACGAUGAUCACAUGGUAGUUAAGCAGAGCCUUAAAAACUAGAAACCCCUUCUCUUGAAUGGUGGCAUACUUGUUGUCAUGAAA